ACAUAAGUGAUUUAUAUUGGGUAUCAGUAGCCCAAAACUUAUUUUUUUAAUAGAUCAAACCAUAUAUUUGGGGCUGAUCCGUAUCAGUCCACUGAUACCUUUGAUACUCGUAUCGGGUGACGUGGCAGCACACAGUUGGUUCAGUGAAAGCAGAGAAAAAAAAAAAAAAAUUCUUCGAUCCCAUCUCUCCUCCUCCUCCGCCGAUUCUUCUUCGAUCCCAUCGCUCCUCCGCCAAUUCUUCUUCUUCUCCACCGCGAGCUUGAACUGGAAGACAAGCAAGUCCCCGGUCUCAGCUCGAUUUUGUGACCGCUGCGAAGAUCUUGUUCACUGAACCACCCAAGAAGAAUAAAUUUGGGUAAUUUGUGCUGGAAAUUUGGGGGUUUUAAGAGGGUUUUACUCUCGAAUUCUUUUUAUGGGUUUUCAAUUUCUGCACAUACUCUUCGUUGAUCUUGUCUUUUGUUUAGUUUAUCAGAAUAAUGGGUUUGAUUCAUGCUUCUAUAAGCCAUAAAUCAUGGAAAGACCCUAUUUUUUCCACUUACCUUAUAGAUUUUGAAGUUAAUUUUAGGAAAGAGUAGUGUUACAGAGCCUCAGAAUUGUAGAAUCGUGGCAUGUGAGCUUCUUUAGGUUGAAACAAGUGGGGAGAUCACUGAACUGGUUUUCAAGUUCUCCUACAAUUAUCUCUUUCACUUUCUGAAACUAGCUCUUAUAGUAAGUUGAGUUCUUGUGCUGGUUUGUGUUGUAGUAAGUCCUCAUAUGGAUUUUGAUUUGUGUUAGCUUUGAUUGGCAUGUGGUGCAAUUCAUUAUCGUCUGUUUGCCAUCUGUAGGUAUUGCUAUUUACUUCCCGUUAACUUUCUCUCUUAAUUGUUUUGUUCAAUGUUUUUUUGUCAAAGAUCUCAAUAUUUCUUGUUUAUAAAUGACCAUUGUUUCUUGUAACAACUGUGUAUCUGGUUUUUCAAUAUGCUCGCUGGAAAAUGAAGAUCAUGGAUGCACAUAUGCCUCGUCAUAUUGGACUAAUUCUCAGGAACUUGGAGAGAAGAAAAGGAAAGAAGAAGAAAAGAAAGAGAAAGAAGAAGCUGAACAAAAGGCAUUAGAAGUAGAAGGAGCAACCAAGUCUCACGAAGAGCUAAUGGAAAUGAAACAGAGAUUGGGAAAAAUCGAAGAGACAAUAAAGGAGAUUGUUUUGGAAACCAAUAAACCUUCAGAGAAAGCUCCGACCAAAACCCAAGAAGAUCAAUCUACUAAACUCUCCCCAAAAGAAGAAUCAAAACCAGAAAAAGAACAUAAGGGCAAUGUACAGAAACCAGCUGAUGGAUUUCAUUGAGAUGAUUAGAAGGGAAACAUAGGUGGUAGAUGAAGAAGGAUGUACCUUUCUGUGAGUUAUUAUGCUUUUGGAACUAAUACAGUAGUUGAUGCAAUUCUCGGAUUUUGCUUUUGGUUGUUGAAUCACCUUUUGAAUUAAUAUAGAUCACAAUGAUUUGCGUUUAA